rnacentral:rRNA from 2 species
GGGUUGUGAGGUUAAGCGACUAAGCGUACACGGUGGAUGCCCUGGCAGUCAGAGGCGAUGAAGGGCGUGCUAAUCUGCGAUAAGCGCCGGUAAGGUGAUAUGAACCGUUAUAACCGGCGAUACCCGAAUGGGGAAACCCAGUGUGACUCGUCACACUAUCAUUAACUGAAUCCAUAGGUUAAUGAGGCGAACCGGGGGAACUGAAACAUCUAAGUACCCCGAGGAAAAGAAAUCAACCGAGAUUCCCCCAGUAGCGGCGAGCGAACGGGGAGGAGCCCAGAGCCUGAAUCAGCAUGUGUGUUAGUGGAAGCGUCUGGAAAGGCGCGCGAUACAGGGUGACAGCCCCGUACACAAAAGCGCAUGUGCUGUGAGCUCGAUGAGUAGGGCGGGACACGUGGUAUCCUGUCUGAAUAUGGGGGGACCAUCCUCCAAGGCUAAAUACUCCUGACUGACCGAUAGUGAACCAGUACCGUGAGGGAAAGGCGAAAAGAACCCCGGCGAGGGGAGUGAAAAAGAACCUGAAACCGUGUACGUACAAGCAGUGGGAGCACCCUUUGGGUGUGACUGCGUACCUUUUGUAU